rnacentral:rRNA from 1 species
CCUACGGGAGGCAGCAGUGGGGUAAUUUUGGACAAUGGGCGCAAGCCUGAUCCAGCAAUGCCGCGUGCAGGAUGAAGGCCUUCGGGUUGUAAACUGCUUUUGUACGGAACGAAAAGGUCUGCCCUAAUACGGUGGGCCCAUGACGGUACCGUAAGAAUAAGCACCGGCUAACUACGUGCCAGCAGCCGCGGUAAUACGUAGGGUGCGAGCGUUAAUCGGAAUUACUGGGCGUAAAGCGUGCGCAGGCGGUUAUAUAAGACAGAUGUGAAAUCCCCGGGCUCAACCUGGGACCUGCAUUUGUGACUGUAUAGCUAGAGUACGGUAGAGGGGGAUGGAAUUCCGCGUGUAGCAGUGAAAUGCGUAGAUAUGCGGAGGAACACCGAUGGCGAGGGCAAUCCCCUGGACCUGUACUGACGCUCAUGCACGAAAGCGUGGGGAGCAAACAGGAUUAGAUACCCUGGUAGUCCACGCCCUAAACGAUGUCAACUGGUUGUUGGGUCUUCACUGACUCAGUAACGAAGCUAACGCGUGAAGUUGACCGCCUGGGGAAGUCGGCCGCAAGGUUGAAACUUCAAAUUGAAUUGAGGG